UACGUAGGGGGCUAGCGUUGUCCGGAAUCAUUGGGCGUAAAGAGCGUGUAGGCGGCUCGGUAAGUCCGCUGUAAAAGUCAAAGGCUCAACCUUUGAAUGUCAGUGGAUACUGCCGGGCUAGAGUCCGGAAGAGGCGAGUGGAAUUCCUGGUGUAGCGGUGAAAUGCGCAGAUAUCAGGAGGAACACCGAUGGCGAAGGCAGCUCGCUGGGACGGUACUGACGCUGAGACGCGAAAGCGUGGGGAGCAAACAGG
rnacentral:rRNA from 1 species